UACGUAGGGUGCGAGCGCUGUCCGGAAUUAUUGGGCGUAAAGAGCUCGUAGGCGGUGUGUCGCGUCGGUCGUGAAAACUUGGGGCUUAACCCUGAGCUUGCGGUCGAUACGGGCAUCACUGGAGUUCGGCAGGGGAGACUGGAAUUCCUGGUGUAGCGGUGAAAUGCGCAGAUAUCAGGAGGAACACCGGUGGCGAAGGCAGGUCUCUGGGCUGACACUGACGCUCAUGCACGAAAGCGUGGGGAGCAAACAGG
rnacentral:rRNA from 1 species